rnacentral:rRNA from 1 species
AGAGUUUGAUCCUGGCUCAGGAUGAACGCUGGCGGCAUGCCUAAUACAUGCAAGUCGAACGAGAGGAAGGAAAGCUUGCUUUCCUAAAUCUAGUGGCGAACGGGUGAGUAACACGUAGGUAACCUGCCCAUGUGCCCGGGAUAACUUCUGGAAACGGAUGCUAAAACCGGAUAGGUAGCAGACAAGCAUUUGACUGCUAUUAAAGUGGCUAAGGCCAUGAACAUGGAUGGACCUGCGGUGCAUUAGCUAGUUGGUGAGGUAACGGCCCACCAAGGCGACGAUGCAUAGCCGGCCUGAGAGGGCGGACGGCCACAUUGGGACUGAGACACGGCCCAAACUCCUACGGGAGGCAGCAGUAGGGAAUUUUCGUCAAUGGGGGGAACCCUGAACGAGCAAUGCCGCGUGAGUGAGGAAGGUCUUCGGAUCGUAAAGCUCUGUUGUAAGAGAAAAACGGCACUCAUAGGGAAUGAUGAGUGAGUGAUGGUAUCUUACCAGAAAGUCACGGCUAACUACGUGCCAGCAGCCGCGGUAAUACGUAGGUGGCGAGCGUUAUCCGGAAUGAUUGGGCGUAAAGGGUGCGUAGGUGGCAGAUCAAGUCUGGAGUAAAAGGUAUGGGCUCAACCCGUACUUGCUCUGGAAACUGAUCAGCUAGAGAACAGAAGAGGACGGCGGAACUCCAUGUGUAGCGGUAAAAUGCGUAGAUAUAUGGAAGAACACCGGUGGCGAAGGCGGCCGUCUGGUCUGGAUUCUGACACUGAAGCACGAAAGCGUGGGGAGCAAAUAGGAUUAGAUACCCUAGUAGUCCACGCCGUAAACGAUGAGAACUAGGUGUUGGGGGAAUAACUCAGUGCCGCAGUUAACGCAAUAAGUUCUCCGCCUGGGGAGUAUGCACGCAAGUGUGAAACUCAAAGGAAUUGACGGGGGCCCGCACAAGCGGUGGAGUAUGUGGUUUAAUUCGACGCAACGCGAAGAACCUUACCAGGUCUUGACAUUGAUCGCGAUCUGCAGAAAUGCGGAGUUCUUCUUCGGAAGACGAGAAAACAGGUGGUGCACGGCUGUCGUCAGCUCGUGUCGUGAGAUGUUGGGUUAAGUCCCGCAACGAGCGCAA